CCUGGCUGGAUCCGGGCUGGGAUAGUGACGCCCAUUCCUAACCAGUUUCGAAAAGGUUCGCUCAUGCUGGAGGGAGCAUCCCCACUUAGUGAUAGGUCCGCUAGUUCGCGCAAAUCCGAAAAAGUUAUCACGGACGAGCCACAUGCAGGGAAACUUGCACGUGUGGUUCUGGCCGGGCUUUCCUGAGGUAUCUAAUAACCUUGC